rnacentral:ncRNA from 1 species
UAUUAUCUCCCACCGGGGAGAGAUGCAAAAAGCAUCCGCAGCACAUCGUUAGGUCUUUGAAGAUGUGCCGGCGGGUGCUUUGUUUUUU